UAACCGACUUUCUCUCUCUAAAACAUUUUCUCUCACGCCAUUUUCUCUCUCGUCAUAAACCACCGAGAUUCCCAAAUUUCCCCUAAUUUAUACUGAUUUCAAGCCCUAUUUCUAACGAUUUCUCGCUAAUUCUUCAACAAAUUCGUGAUUUCUUACAAAUUGCUAACCUAGAAAUUCAAUUUUUUGAAUUCGAUCAAAAGUGGAGAUGAAUCAAGGAGAAGAAGCAAUGAAUCCAGCAAAAAAAACUACGAGAGAAGAAAAUUGAGCAAUGAAGAAAUUGAGGGUAAUUGUGUAGGUUGCUUACACUGGGUCUUCAAGGUCCCGAAUGUGUUGUGUGGGCAAGCACACUGUAGUUGAACCACAUCUUGAGCCGUGUUCUUUGGAUUGCAGGGAAUACCUUAAAUUCGGUCCUCAUUGAGAAGGUUAGCUUUAUUGUGUUUUGAGCUGCAGCAUAAGGUGUUAACCAGAUUGGUGUUGGUCUCUGCCUCUCUAGUGGCUGCAGAGCUGCUGUGGCAGGCAAUCAAAUGCCUUCUUUUGGUUUAUCUACAUUCCAAGAAAUUCAUGCGCUCUAUGGACGGAGUCAAAAGUGGAGCUCAAUCCGGGUUCAUUCCCGAAAGGAAUAUUUUUGACAAUGUUAGCCACUGAAUUAUCUGGUCAUUGAAUAAAGACUUUUCAGCAGGUAUGGUAACUUCAAAAGAUUAGCCUACAAUACAUACAUCAAAACAUCACCCACAUUAUCUUGAACAACGCUACAGAGCUUACUUUUCUCAUCUUUAACUACAAUGUUUGUAUUUAACUUGAAGAUGAUUGUCAUGGCUUCCAAACACUUCUUGCAUUAAGUAGCUGACAGGGGCAACAUCUUGUAAGAGGUUUGCGUCGUACUCCCUAGGCAUAGUUGUUUAGGUUUUUUCUUUACUUUUAUUUAUUCUAUUGUAAAACAACU